GAUGAACGCUAGCGAUAGGCCUAACACAUGCAAGUCGAGGGACCGGCGCACGGGUGCGUAACGCGUAUGCAACUUGCCUCACAGAGGGGGAUAACUCGUCGAAAGACGGUCCAAUACCGCGUACUGUGAGAUAGGCAUGCUACCCAUUAGCUAGUUGGUGAGGUAACGGCUCACCAAGGCAACGAUGGGUGGGGGAACUGAGAGGGAGAACCCCCACACUGGUACUGAGUCACGGACCCGACUCCUACGGGAGGCAGAAGUGAGGGAUAUUGGUCAAUGGGCGAGAGCCUGAACCAGCCAAGUCUCGUGAAGGAUGACUGUCUAUGGAUUGUAAACUUCUGUUGUAGGGGAAUCUGUACCCUACGAAUAAGCAUCGGCUAACUCCGUGCCAGCAGCCGCGGUAAUAC
rnacentral:rRNA from 1 species